AGAGUGAACGCUGGCGGUAGGCCUAACACAUGCAAGUCGAACGGCAGCACAGUGGUAGCAAUACCAUGGGUGGCGAGUGGCGGACGGGUGAGGAAUACAUCGGAAUCUACCUUUUCGUGGGGGAUAACGUAGGGAAACUUACGCUAAUACCGCAUACGCCCUUUGGGGGAAAGCCGGGGAUCGCAAGACCUGGCGCGGAUAGAUGAGCCGAUGUCGGAUUAGCUAGUUGGUGAGGUAAUGGCUCACCAAGGCGACGAUCCGUAGCUGGUCUGAGAGGAUGAUCAGCCACACUGGAACUGAGACACGGUCCAGACUCCUACGGGAGCAGCAGUGGGAAUAUUGGACAAUGGGCGCAAGCCUGAUCCAGCCAUACCGGCGUGGGUAGAAGAAGGCCUUGGUUGUAAAGCCCUUUUGUUGGAAAGAAAGCAAUCGGUUAAUACCCGGUUGUUCGUAGACGUAACCCAAAGAAUAAGCACCGUCUAACUUCGUGCC
rnacentral:rRNA from 1 species